ensembl:lncRNA
CUGAAUUAGAACAUAUCUGAGGUUAUUAUUACGUACCUGUGCCUAGCAUCAGGUAAAGUUUGUGUCAUUGAGUGUAAAAAGCAACAGCUUUUUUUGCUACAGCAGGUCCCAGUCACAGCCAGAGUCGAAAGACUGGUGUCUCUCAUAUCAGGGCUCCUGAAACCAGUGCGGAAAUGACCAGUGACUUUCCUUCCGUUACUGCAGAGUCCUUCCUUCAAGAGCUUAAAAGCUCACUGUUUGAGGAAAUACAUGAGGAUGAAACGGUACUUCAAGCCUCAACAGACUGGUCGACCCGAAAGAGCCUCAUAUCAGGGUGGUGGGAGAAAGAGAGACCCCGACUGGUCAACACCAUGGUGGCUGGACAACAUGCGGCAACUCGGAUCUGCCAACAUUGUGGAAAUGGUCCAGCCGUAAUCCGUUGUUGUGACUGCCGACCACACCCAUUCCUCUGUGGCCAGUGUGAUGUCAGGGUCCACCGAGGUCAAGUGUUCCACAACAGGGAUUCGAUGACACAUGCAUUCUUUCAUCCAUUGCCUCCCACAACUUGUGUUGUGGAGAGGGUUCUAACCCAGUGUGGUAAGUUGUAGUUUUUAAAAGUCACAUUCUUAGACUUGACUGAAAAAAACUGAUAGGUCGAUGAAGCAGUCAAGUACAUCUUGUUUAAAAAUAGUUGCCAGUAAAUAAAUGUUAUUUUUUAAUGCUUAUCCAUGUGUUUUUUGUUUUUUUCAAGAGCGUCUUGUACCUUUGGAGAUGCCAGAGACAAUAUGCGGUUGUCUACGAGUAUCGUCCAGUGUCAUCGCAGGACAGUCCAUAGUUGUGGUUACAAUGAAUGGUAAGAAGAACUUUAUGGGUUUGGGUGGGGGUCACUUCUGUAGAAGUGUCUGCUGAAUCUCACCCACAGCUAUUUGCUGAUCACACCUCGUAUAUACUCCCUCUCACUUUUUGUCACAAUUAUGCACAUAUACGUAUCAUGUUAAAUUCAUACAUGUUACAUUGUGCAAGAAAUAUUCUUUAUCAUGGCUGGAAAUCCAGAGGUGUCAAUAGGUUGUGUGUUGAUUAGAUUGGC